CGGUCUGCCCUAAAUAUUCCAAUGGCUGUGACCUAAGCCUCCGCCGUCUGACUUCACCAUCCAUUUCUGCACACCCUGGGUGACUCGUUCUUAUUCCCAACUUUAGUAAAACACAGGUCCCAGGGCAACCUUAGAGCAGCCUGGGUUCUCCAGGAAGCCCCAGCAUCAACCUGUCUUCAGAAUGAGCCCCAACUGGGGACAACGUGGCUGUGAUUUCAGUGAGGACAAAUGUGGCUCCCCCAGCUUCUCUGGGCGUUUGGGGUCCCUUUUAUUCCUGUGGGGCACCAAGAGGAAUAAUGCAGCCUCUGUUGGGAAACAAAGGCUUGGGCAGGCUCUUCCCAGUCUAAAAAGCCUGGUUUCAUUGAGUCUCAGGAUCAAGACGCACAAAUUCUCUUCGCCAGCUGGGAAGCCGCCUUCCAACAAAAUAGCAAUGCAAAACUUCCCUCGACUUCGUGGGAUGGCUGGCUGCCCCUACUUUGCAGAUUUGUAAACUGGAGCUAAAGACAUCCAAAUUGCCUGAAAUCCACAGUCUGUAGUAGUUGAGUUGGGUUUGAGUCCAAGAUUCUGCAGCGUGGGACA